rnacentral:rRNA from 1 species
UACGUAGGGUGCAAGCGUUAAUCGGAAUUACUGGGCGUAAAGCGUGCGCAGGCGGUUGUGCAAGACAGAUGUGAAAAUCCCCGGGCUUAACCUGGGAACUGCAUUUGUGACUGCACAGCUGGAGUGCGGCAGAGGGGGAUGGAAUUCCGCGUGUAGCAGUGAAAUGCGUAGAUAUGCGGAGGAACACCGAUGGCGAAGGCAAUCCCCUGGGCCUGCACUGACGCUCAUGCACGAAAGCGUGGGGAGCAAACAGG